AUUGAUGUAUUCAACGAGUGUAUAGCCUUGGCUGACAGGCUUGGGUAAUCAUUGAAAUUUCAUUUUGAUGAGGAUAAAUCAUUGCAAUUGUUGGUCCUUAAC
rnacentral:rRNA from 1 species